GACGAACGCUGGCGGCGUGCUUAACACAUGCAAGUCGAGCGGAGCGGCGAACGGGUGAGUCACGCGUGAGUAACUGCCCCCCUCUCUGGGAUAACAGUUGGAAACGGCUGCUAAUACCGGCUAGUUGGGGAUGACUCGUGUCCUAUCAGCUUGUUGUUGGGGUAGUGGCCUACCAAGGCGACGACGGGUCGCCGGCGUGAGAGGGUGACCGGCCACAGUGGGCGGAGAUACGGCCCAGACUCCUACGGGAGGGAGCAGUGGGGGAUAUUGCACAAUGGGCGAAAGCCUGAUGCAGCGACGCCGCGUGGGGGAUGAAGGCUUUCGGGUUGUAAACCUCUUUCGCUAUCGAACGGGUAGGUGGAGAAGAAGCGCCGGCUAACUACGUGCCAGCAGCCGCGGUAAUAC
rnacentral:rRNA from 1 species